rnacentral:rRNA from 1 species
UACGAAGGGGGCUAGCGUUGUUCGGAAUUACUGGGCGUAAAGGGCGCGUAGGCGGUUCGUACAGUCAGACGUGAAAUUCCUGGGCUCAACCUGGGGGCUGCGUUUGAUACGUGCGGACUUGAGUGCGGAAGAGGGUCGUGGAAUUCCCAGUGUAGCGGUGAAAUGCGCAGAUAUCGGGAGGAACACCAAUGGCGAAGGCAGCUCGCUGGGACGUGACUGACGCUGAGACGCGAAAGCGUGGGGAGCAAACAGG